UCUCGCUAAAAUGGCUGUAUCGGAUGGUGUUACAUACAAUAUAAAAAGUAAUUAUUCAGAUUUCUUGUUAAAAUAUAAAAAUCGGAAUCAUGAACACUGGAAGGAAUAUUUUGAUUCAAAAUCUGUAGAAAAGGGCGUUUGGUACAAAACGCUACAAGCUGAACCUCCCAGAAUCCCAUGGUUUGCUGAGUGUAAAUUAAGUAGAUAUGAGAUUGUUUUGUCCCAUAGAUUAAGAUCAGGUCAUUUGCCAUUAAAUAAGUUUAAAUAUAUGAUGAAAGUUGUAGGCUCACCGGAUUGUUCAGCAUGUUCAGUAGUAGAGGACUUAUAUCAUUUUUUGGUAGAAUGUAAACAAUAUAAUUCGGACAGAGCAAUGUUAUUUCGAAAACUUCGAGUCAAUCUAAUUGACGUUGGUGCAUUUCAGACUAUCCUUUCAAAUCCAUGUUCUGUUGAGGCCAAAAUAUUGUAUAGUUAUGUAAAAUAUUGUUUAGACUUAAGACAACCCUAGUUUAGCAUUUAUUUAAAUAGUGUAUGUCUCGAUGAGACUGACAUGGUCACAGUUUAUUGUAAGUGACCUAAGUCUCUUUAAUAAAUAAAGAUUAAAAAAAAAAAAAA